rnacentral:rRNA from 1 species
GUGGGGAAUAUUGCACAAUGGGGGAAACCCUGAUGCAGCGACGCCGCGUGAGUGAAGAAGUAUUUCGGUACGUAAAGCUCUAUCAGCAAGGAAGAAAAUGACAGUACCUGACUAAGAAGCCCCGGCUAACUACGUGCCAGCAGCCGCGGUAAUACGUAGGGGGCAAGCGUUAUCCGGAUUUACUGGGUGUAAAGGGAGCGUAGACGGAAUGGCAAGUCUGAAGUGAAAUCCUGCGGCUUAACUGCAGAAUUGCUUUGGAAACUGUCAAUCUGGAGUGUUGGAGAGGUAAGCGGAAUUCCUGGUGUAGCGGUGAAAUGCGUAGAUAUCAGGAAGAACACCGGAGGCGAAGGCGGCUUACUGGACAAUAACUGACGUUGAGGCUCGAAAGCGUGGGAAGCAAACAGGAUUAGAAACCCGAGUAGUCC